AGAUUACAUUGAUAUAGUGUAAAUACUAAAACAGGCUUGAAUAUCUGGAAUAAAUCCCACUUGGUCUUGUUAUAUAAUUCAUUUCACACUUUGUUGGAUGUGUUGAGAAUUUUUGCCUGUAUUUUCUGUGAGAUACCAAUUCAUAGUUUUCUUUCUUCUAAUAACUUUAUCUGGGUAAUGUUGGCCCAUAGAAUGAAUAAGGAUUGAUCCCUUUGCUUUUAUUUUUUGAGAAGAUUACAAAAAAUAAAUAUGUUUUCAUGUUAAAUGUUUUAAAGAAUUCAUCAGUGAAAUUUGAGAUUCAUGCUCUCUUUUUGGAAGAUAUUCGAUUAUUGAUAAUUUUCUGUAGAUAAAGAGCUACCGAUAGUAUCUAUUUCUCCUUAUGUGAAUUUUGGGCUUAAUUUGCUCUUCUUUGUCAAGAUUUCUAAUGCUGAGCUGAGCUAGUUGAUUUG
rnacentral:lncRNA from 10 species